rnacentral:rRNA from 1 species
AACGAACGCUGGCGGCAGGCUUAACACAUGCAAGUCGAACGCACCGCAAGGGGAGUGGCAGACGGGUGAGUAACACGUGGGGAUCUGCCCAAUGGUACGGAAUAGCUCCGGGAAACUGGAAUUAAUACCGUAUGAGCCCGCAAGGGGAAAGAAUUAUCGGCAAUGGAUGAACCCGCGUCGGAUUAGCUAGUUGGUGUGGUAAAGGCGCACCAAGGCCUCGAUCCGUAGCUGGUCUGAGAGGAUGAUCAGCCACAGUGGUACUGUGACACGGCCGAGAGACCCAAGGGCGGCAGCAGUGGGGAAUAUUGGAGGAUGGGGGAAAGCCUGAGUCAGCAAUGCCGCGUGAGUGAGGAAGGUCUUAGGGUUGUAAAGCUCUUUCGCCGACGAAGAUAAUGACGGUAGUCGGAGAAGACGCCCCGGCUAACUUAGUGCCAGCGGCCGCCGUAAUAC